AAGUGUGGUGUUAAAAAAAAAGUGUGAAGGUCACGCUCUAAAUAGAGAACAACAGCCUACACCAGUACAAAUUCUUUAAAGUUUGAAAAAGAAACUAUGUAUUAUAACAUCAACCAAGUAAAUACAGUGGCGGUAUAGUUUUCACAGCAGUACUCUAUACUCAAUAGGUCACUUAAAGAGGACAAAAUGUUGACAUUCCUCACUGCCCUCACGUCAUGAAGUCUCUCCAGAGCCUUCAGCUGCAGGGCUUGAACCCAAAGGCUGCAAACGCUGGAAGGCUGCUGUGUCUGCAGUGGGCAAGCCCCACAGAGCCGCAGAGCCCAGCCUGCCUCCAGGCCACUUCUGGCUCCACUUGUCCUCACCUUAUGCUUGAGGGCAUUUCAGGAAAUAAAGAGCUAGCAGGGAAGCCAGAGGGAUAAACAAACGUCAGUGCAACAGGCCUACCAGAAGGUGGCACCAAAGAGACCCAAAGGAGGACAGAACUGGAGAGCUGGAGACAAGAGACACAAAUACAUUUAGUUUUCACCCCACCUGAGCAUAAGAGCUUCCAACUCAGGGUGAGGCAGGCAUGAGCUUAGACCGGUGCGUGUGUGUACUUGUCUUGCCUGAACAAGCAAAGGAGUGAACUGAAGCAUCACAUCAAUUUCAACUUUCCAUAUUAACUGCUUGUAUUACAAAGGCCCACUUUCUGUUUUCUUCCAUCUUCCCUCUUUCUUCAUCUCAUUUCCUCACUUCUAUUCCUUUCCAUCAUCCACAUGCUGGUCAGUAGCACAGGAUUUCCCAUCAGAAUCUGCCCCAUAGCGAUAACACACACUGGCUGGCACACACUCAGACACAAGCGCACCUCCAGGAAGUGGCCCACCUCACAUCACUGACACACAGGGGCUGGAAUAAGAUAAUAGAAUGACUCUCUUUCCCUCAGCUCUCCUUGGCGCCCCAAUCUCAUUUGUACAGUAAAGCUUGUGAGAGGCUUGAAACUUGAAAGAAAACGGACCUAGUCCAGUAAUUCUAAAAAGGGAUUACUUUCAAUAUAAAACAAAAUAAAACCUUUGGGUGCCAGUGCCACAAUUCAACUGUGUCAUAAAAACACAGCAAUGUGGAAAGAUUUUAUUUCCCACCAAUAAAAUAAAGGGGCAUUAAACUAGCUUUCGUUUUACAGGUGAACAGACCAGGUCAAGACAAUUAAAUACUGUCCUCAGGUUUCAUAGUAAGAGUGGCAGAGUCGGCCAGGAAAGCAAGCCAUCUACUUCCAGGCAUGUGACACUGUUCUCUUCCUGGGGCCCUGAACGCCUGCCAACUCCCUGCUCCACUCCCCCUCUCCAUACCCACAUCCAAACGUGAAUUUGUUUAAAGAGCAUUUAUGUAGAACUUCCCUUACAUGAUUCUGAAGAGAAAACGAGCAACAAAUGCUGACUGGGAGUUGCCAGCCUAGGGGAGACACACAGACAUGAAGGCAUGGUGUCGAGCCAGCCAUGUCUCUGCAACAGGAUAACUUACAAAGAGCUAAAGAAGACCACAGAGAAGCAGAAUGAAUUCUCUUUAGAAGCUCCGGAGAAGCAUGCCUGUGCGUGGAGGAGUGGAGGACGGAGUGAAGAGAACGGUGGGAAUGGAGGAACAGGAGCGAGGAAGGGAAAGGAGGAGCCUCUCUAUUUAUAACACACUUGGACUGAAGCUGGCUGUGAUGUUUGAAGGUUCCCAAGACAACAAGUUUGCUCAUCACUACAGCCAUCACAUGGGCCUUCUACAUUUCUCUUCUGUUUUGGUACCCUCAUCAGGGCCCUCAGUCUCCAGGAUUUUUGAGGAUCCCUCACCUUUGUCACUGCGCCUGGAGCUCAUUGAGAGAGCGCCAGUGCCCUCUCCCCGCAAGAAUACCAUUUCCUGGUGCCCUCACAGAGGCCAAGCAGGGGGUCAGCACCUUCAUUUGGUCCCAUUAAGAAAGGGAAGGAGGUUCCUUCCCCACUCUCACACCUUAUUGCCAGGACCAAGCAGAGACACUUUCUGCACCUACAUCUUCCAGAGCUAGUCAUCUACAUAGUUUCUUUGGCUGCUGUUUAUUGUUGGGACCAGGUAGAUAACAGAUUCUUCUGUGUUUCUUCAUUCACUCAUUCUACCCACAGAUGCCCAUGCACAAACAUCCUUCUUGUAGGUUCUUUGCCUCAAUUAAAUGAACAAUUAUAAAUAGACACCUUGGGGGACUGCCAAACCAUCAUAUGACCCAUUUUCUCUACUAUUACCACUGAAUUAUCCAUCUUUAACAGUUAUAUAAAGACUUUACCUGAAGUCCAUUCUGCUGUUGUUAUGAACCACUAAUGAACCACUAGUCAUAUCUCCUCUUUAAAGCAUGAUACAAAGUGAAUAAAAAUGUCCACCUUUCCCAACAGAGGCUGGGAAAUAAAAUGAAAUGAUCUACCUAGACCCAAAGUCAUUCUCUGCUCCAAACUGUGGAUGUCCUACCUACCUAGGGAUUAAUUUCAUAACUAAUCAGCAGAAACCCUAGUAUCUAGUGGCACAAGUACUGCUUUCUCACAAUCAUCCCCAUGUUCAUUCUAUAAUACAAGAAAAGAGAUAAUUUUCCAACAUAGCUUUGAUAUCGUGACUGCUACUCUCAGAAAGUUUUUUUUGUGUUGUAGUUUUCCAGCUACCUAAACAACCUUUUUUCAUUUUUUGAAAGUUAAAAAAUAUUUAAUCAAAUCUAACAUGUGGGUGCCCCCUGCUGUAAGGCUACAUGUAUGUUGUAUAUAUUCUAAAUACUAGAAGACUCCUUCAGGCCAGAAACCAAAAUUUAUUCCUCUUUCUUCCACCACAUAUAUGAUAGCAUCUGAUACUAUACUCAGCCUAAAUAAAUGUUAUUGAACUAAUGAAA